rnacentral:rRNA from 1 species
AUUGAACGCUGGCGGCAGGCCUAACACAUGCAAGUCGAACGAGUGGCGGACGGGUGAGUAAUGUCUGGGAAACUGCCUGGUGGAGGGGGUUCACUACUGGAAACGGUAGCUAAUACCGCAUACCAUCAGAUGUGCCCAGAUGGGAUUAUCGAGUUGGUGGGGUAACGGCUCACCAAGGCGCCGAUCCCUAGCUGUUGUGAGAGGAGGACCGGCCACACUGGAAAUGGGCCACGGCCCAGACUCCGACGGGAGGCAGCAGUGGGGAAUAUUGAACAAUGGGAGCAAGCCGGAUGCAGCCAUGCCGCGUGUAUGGAGAAGGCCUUCGGGUUGUAAAGUACUUUCAGCGGGGAGGCGUUACCCGCAGAAGAAGCACCGGCUAAUUCCGUGCCAGCAGCCGCGUAAUAC